rnacentral:lncRNA from 1 species
GAUGCUGUAUGGCUGGAGAAGCUCCUGCCAGCCCCUGCUCUCCUUUUGUGGCAUUUUUCUUUAUCCCAAGAACUUGACUAAUAGUCUAGUCUGGGUUGUCCCUUUGAGGAGGCUUGUUGCUCUCUCAAUUUUCCCAGGCCCGGUGAUAUCCCUGAAGGCAGGUACAGGCAUGCUGCAGAAAUCUGGAGGCCUGCCCAAAAGUAUGUCUGUUGUUGGUGAAGGGGCAAUGUAGCAAUUACAUGAGUAAUGCGGUGGCAGGUCUAUGGGAAAUCAGAGCUGGAGAAAGAGGGCUGUUCUUGAAGGAAGGGUGGUGGGUGAACAAACCCUUGCCUUGCGAACCCUGUCUUCUCCUUCCCUUCCCCCAAUCCCAGCUCCUCUCUCACCAAACAUCCUUUCAUGCUCACCCCACUCUGGUACUCAAGGAGCUGUGGAAAUGAGAAGGAAGCGGUUGCAGGUCAACAGUGGGCUUCCUCAGAGCCACUGACAGGUCCCUUCUGGCGGGGCUGGCUCCAGGGGCGGGAGCUGAAGACAGACCUUGGAGUCUGACCACUUCUGAGGGCAGCAGCCCGGCUCCUGGUGGCCCCGGCAGCAGUCCCCUGGUGACCAUGCUGUUGAGCACCUUUUCAUAUGCUCAUUAGCCAUCUGCAUAUUUUCUUUGCUGAGGCAUCUGUUCAGGUAUUAUGGCUAUUUUUAAAGUAGGCUGUUCAAUUUCUAUUGUUGAGUUUUAAGAGUUUCUUGUAUCUUUUGGAUAAGUCUCUAUCAGGUAUAUUUUUGUAAAUAUUUUUUCCCAGUCUAUGUCCUGUCUUCUCAUUCCUUGACAGUGUGUUUUACAGAAAUUUUAAUAUUCAUGAAAUCUAAUUUAUCAAUUAUUUCUUUCUUGAAUCACCUUUUUUUAUGUUGUGCCUAAAAAGUUAUCCUCACACUGCAGGUUAUCUAGAUUUUUCUCUGUUAUCUUCCAAGAAUUUUAUAUUUUUGCCUUUUCCAUUUAUGUUGAUGAUCUAUUUUGAGUUAACUUUGUGAAGGCUGUAAGGACUGUUUCUUUUAUUGCUUGGGAAUUUUUGUACAUUUCUUAUUGGAUUGUUUGGGUUGUUUUUAAUUAUUAAGUUAUAAAAAUAUAUAUGCUAGAUAUAAGCCUCUGCAUUGAUAUAUGAUUUGAGAAUACUGUCUCCCAUUCUGUGGGUUGUCUUUCCACUUUUAUGAUGGUGUGUUUUGAAGCACAGAAGUUUUCAUUUUGAUGAAACCCAACUUGUCUAUUUUUUCUCUUGUAACUUGUGAAUUUGGUGUCAUGUCUAAGAAAUCAUUACCUGAUCCAAGGUCAAGCAGAUUUACUCUUAUGUUUUCUUCUAAGAAUUUUAUAGUUUUAGCUUUUGCAUUUAGCUAAUUAUGUAUUUUUUGAGUUAAUUUUUGUAAAUGAUGUGAGAUGUGAGCCCAGUCUUAUUCUUCUGCAUAAGGGUAUCUAGUUGCUCUGACACAAUUUAUCAAAAAGACUAUUCUUUCCUCUUAAUUAUCUUAACAUCUUUGUCAAAAAUCAAGUAAUCACUGAAGGUAAAAGUGUUUAUUUCUGGACUCCCAAUGACAUUGCAUUGAUCUGUAUGUCUAUACCAGUACCAUACUGUCUUGAUUACUAUCGCUUUUUAGUAAGUUCUGAAGUUGGAAAGUGUGUCCUCUGCUUUUUUUUUCAUCUUCAAGAUGUUUUGACUAUUCUGAGUCCCUGAAUUUGGAUCAGCCUGUCAAUUUCUGCAAAGAAAUAAUCUGGGAUGUUGAUAUGGAUUAUGUCAGAUCUUAUUUGGGGGAAUAUCACCAUCUUAAUAGUAAACCCUCUAGUUUGUGAACAUGGGAUGCUUUCCCAUUUAUUUAGGUCUUUCUUAAUUUCUUUCAACUAUGUUUUAUAGUUUACAGUGUGCAUAUCUUGUACUUCCUUUAUUUAAUUAUCCCUAAGUAUUUCGUUCUUUGUGAUACUAUUGUAAAUGAAAUUAUUUUCUUAAUUUCAUUAUUUGAUGAUUUGUUGCUAGUAUAUAGAAGUGUAACUGACGUUGAUGUAUUAAUCUUGUAUCCUGAAACCUACCUAAAUUCAUGUAUUAGUCCUAAUAACCCUUUCCUUUCCAUUUUGCACUGUUUUCCUCCUUGUCUAUGAAUUGUACUCUGUCUAAUCUUCUUUCAGUUUCUCCAAAGUGCUAAGCUCUCAUCACAGAAACUUUACAUAUUCUGUCCCCUCUGUCUGGAUUUCAUGCUUAUUUUGGAGUCUUCCACCUGAUUAACUCAUCCUUCAGCUCUAUCUCCACAAGCUGCCACAGCUGACUUCAGUUCAUAUCUUAUCCCUUUGUGCAAACAACUAUAAUUCUGUGUUUUUCUUCAAUGUUUUCCUCAGUUUAUCCCCUCAUUUGUACCUACAUAGUGCCUGGCACAUAGUGAAUACUUAACAAAGCAUUUGUCAAAUGAAACAAAGAAUGAAUAAUUGGCAUUGGGAAAAUAUAGCCAUCAUUAAGAACUUUGAGUGAGGCUGAUGGGGAGAAUUGAAGGUGCAGCACAUAGUAUCUACAUAACCAGUCUGGCCUUCUGAGGAUUUACAUUCCACAAUGGAAUGUGAUUGUCUUGAGAGAACAGAGCCAUUGAGCAUGACACCAGUAACAUGUGGUUUCAUGUUGUUUCUCCACUAAAACUCCCUUCUUGGUGGUGGGAAAUUCAGAAAGGAAAACCCAGCUAUCUGAAUCAUUUGCAAAUGAAUAAUCUCUGUCUGACUUUUUAUUUGCACCUUACCUUUCCUGAGGUACAGCUCACUUUCGGAAAAAGUGUGUGUGGGGGGGUUGAAAAGAUUUGUUUAUUUUUCUUGCAAAAUAUGUCCACGGUGACAAACAGGGAAAUUCCCAACCAGCUGUCCCAGUGACCAGCCAGAAAAAGAUUCCCCUGGAACUCUAUAGCAGAAGACUGUGUGCCAGAUGCCCUGAAAGAAUGUUCUGGAGUCUUAUAAUUACCAGGCUCAACUCUGAUGCUUUGCUGGCACCGUAAGUCCCAUGGAAUCAGGUGGGAGGAUAAGUGUGGUAGAAAGGAAAGGGAAGAUGAGCUGAAAGGCCUGAGAAAUGAAAUCAGGAUGAGAUGGUGUGUGAUUUCCUGCUGCAUGAUGGAUUUCCUAUCCAAUUCUGGGAACCCAUAUCCCAGUAAUCAGGCCAGACAGAAGGACAAGGUUUGCAUUCAGGAUUUUCACAUUGUGCUAUAUUUUAUAUAAUCCUUACAGAUCUGAAAUGGGGCUUGGUUCCAAGUGGUUUGAGACCUUUUAGACCCAGUGAAGCAUUGUAUUAUGAAGCUAUAGACCACUGUGAUAGGUUUUGUCUUGUAUCUCCAUCAUCUAGCCCAAUACCUGACUCAGAGGAAGGGCGCAAUGAAAAUUGAACACAGCAUCUUAAAUAAGUCAGUGCAUACCAAGCUAAUUUGCAAAUUAGCUUCUACAGCCCAGUUAACUAAGCUCAUUUUCUUUUUUCUUUUAUUUAUUUAUUUAUUUAUUGGUUCCAGAGAUCAAACUUGGGACCUUGCGCUUGCAAGGCAGGCACCGGAACCACUGAGCUAAAUCCCUGGCCCUCCUUUUCAAAAUUUUAUUCUGACACUCAUCCAUCUUUUUGUCUUCUAUAGCAAACGGUGCAAGUAUUUAGAGUUCUUAAUUUUUGUUGUGUGAGAUGAAUAAUUAAUUAAUUAUGAAUACAUUCCAUACAUAAAUAAAUAAAUAAAAUCAUUGUUCUGCUGUUACUAAAAUAUGAUUUAAAAUGAAAGAUAUGGCUUUCUAGGUAUGAUUUUUAAAUACUUUGUCAAAGGAGAGUUUAAAAUAGUAGAAGUUUGUAUUGAAACAAAAUGGAAGAAGAAGCUUAUAAAAGCACAAUACUCAACUAUAUUUACUUUCUUUGACUAACAUACUCAGGUAAACACAAUAUAAGAGCUACCCUUAUUUUUCUUCCUAUCUCAAAAUGCCUCUGUAAUAAAAGGGUAAAAAUGAUCACAAUUUGGAGUCCUUUCUUCCAAACACUUCCAUUAUCAGUCAUAUUUGAGGAUAAUGUCUUAGGUCAGAGGUUUCUGAGUGUUCGUGGACAAGUUUCCAGUUGCUGCCUAAAGAAAUUAUUGCUCAAUGGUGGCAGACCUUUAAGUCAGGAUGGCUUUCCUUGAGUUUAAUAAUGUGUUAAAUUUGAUGCAAACUGUUACAUAUUUAAGUGGGUCAAGAUCAUUGAACCUGGAUUUUCUUCCUGAGAUUUCCUUUACUCUCAAAGCUUUGCCAAUCAUUUAGAUGCUGUUUUGGUUCCAUAAAUAUUCAUUGCACUUUGGUGGAGAUACUGUUUUAGAUUCUGUAAAAAGAGCAGUGAGUAACAAACACAUAAAGCUCCUGUACGUGGAGUGUAUGUCCUGGGAGAGCUUAUUAUUUUCCCCCUAGUCAAAUGAAACAAAAACAGUGCAUGUCUCAAAGGAUACUCUGAGGACUCUAUGGGGUCGGAGAGGGUAUAGAAGGAAGCGAGAAAUGAUCCCUGACUUUUCAAGGAUCUUGGCUAUAUGUGGAUUUGAGCAGAAGUCAAGGAAUACAUUAUUGAGGUGCAGGAAUGUGUACAUGAUUUUAGGCUGCACGGAAGGAAGCAAGAAAAAAUGUUGAAAACAUGAGUGAGAGGAAAAGAAUGAUAUCAAGGGAUUGGGAGAGAUUAACGUUGAUCAGGAAACAGAACUGUGACUGCAGACGUCAUGGGAAAAGUUGAGCGGGGCGGUAGAAAGUGUGCUUUCACAGCCAACCCUGGAGAGGUGUUAUUCCAAGUUGUUAAUGGUUUUCCGUAGUAGGAAACAGGAAUUUUGAAGGGUAACGUGUGAUGCCUUUGAGACACUUUCCUUGUUGAGCUAUAUGCUAGGCAGGUUUGACAUGGAAGUAAUUUAAAUAUUCAUAGAAACAGAAUUCAUGUCAGUGCUUUUCAAAAUACCUGGAUACUUUACAUAUUCCUAGGUCCCUGUACCAGGUGCUUCAAAAUGCAAUCUUUGGAAGUUGUUCUUGGAAUCUAGCACAUUCACAGUGUCGUGCAACCAUAAUCACUAUCUAGUUCCAAAACAUUUCAUGAUCCAAAAAUGACACUGAAUACCCAAUAAGAAGUCUCUGCAUUGGGCUAGGGAUUUAGCUCAGUGGUUCUGCCUUCUGCCUUGCAAGUGCAAGGCCCCAAGUUCGAUCCCUGGUACCAAAACAAGAAGAAAAAAAAAAAAAAAGAAGUCUCUGCAUGUGGCAUCACUUCAGUGCUUACAAACUUCAAAUUUGGAAUCAUUUUAGCUUUUAGAUUUUUAGAUUAGGGAUGGUUAACCUGCAGUUAAAUUUAUUAUAGGUGCAUAUAUCUAAG